GAUGAACGCUGGCGGCGUGCCUAAUACAUGCCAGUCGAGCGAACAGACGCGGAGCUUGCUCCUCUGACGUUAGCGGCGGACGGGUGAGUAACACGUGGAUAACCUCCCUAUAAGACUGGGAUAACUUCGGGAAACCGGAGCUAAUACCGGAUAAUAUAUUGAACCGCAUGGUUCAAUAGUGAAAGACGGUUUUGCUGUCACUUAUCGAUGGAUCCGCGCCGCAUUAGCUAGUUGGUAAGGUAACGGCUUACCAAGGCAACGAUGCGUAGCCGACCUGAGAGGGUGAUCGGCCACACUGGAACUUAGCCACGGUCCAGACUCCUACGGGAGGCAGCAGUAGGGAAUCUUCCGCAAUGGGCGAAAGCCUGACGGAGCAACGCCGCGUGAGUGAUGAAGGUCUUCGGAUCGUAAAACUCUGUUAUUAGGUAAGAACAAAUGUGUAAGGAACUAUGCACGUCUUGACGGUACCUAAUCAGAAAGCCACGGCUAACUACGUG
rnacentral:rRNA from 1 species